GACGUAGGGCGCGAGCGUUGUCCGGAUUUAUUGGGCGUAAAGAGCUCGUAGGCGGCUUGUCGCGUCGACUGUGAAAUCCCGCGGCUCAACUGCGGGUCUGCAGUCGAUACGGGCAGACUGGAGUACUGCAGGGGAGACUGGAAUUCCUGGUGUAGCGGUGGAAUGCGCAGAUAUCAGGAGGAACACCGGUGGCGAAGGCGGGUCUCUGGGCCGAUACUGACGCUGAGGAGCGAAAGCGUGGGGAGCGAACAGG
rnacentral:rRNA from 1 species